AUGGAGUCGGUAUGCUCUCACAUGGUAGAAUGGAGCAGCGUGCAUCAACCAAAGCCGAGGCAAGAAAGGACGGACCAGCCACAAAAAUGGGAAGCACCUGAAGAUGGAUGGGUUAAGAUCAAUUCUGAUGAUGCGGUUAAUAAAGGAGGGAGUAAGGCUAGUGGUGGAGCGGUGCUUCGGGACCAUAAUGGGGCAUUUCUGGCCGGAGUGUGCCAUCAUUUUCCACACAUUGUGGAGCCUGAAACAGCGGGGAUUUUGGCUUGCAAAAGAGCUUUACAGGUAGCUGAGGAGAUCAAUGUACAGAAUGUCCAUUUGGAGUUGGACU
rnacentral:rRNA from 1 species